UCCGGCAUAGUGUAAUGGUUAUCAUACCUGGUUUUCAUCACAAACUUGAUCGGUGCCCAGGAGACCCGAGUUCAAUUCUCGGUGCCGGAA